rnacentral:rRNA from 1 species
AACGAACGCUGGCGGCAUGCCUAACACAUGCAAGUCGAACGAGACCUUCGGGUGUAUUGGCGCACGGGUGCGUAACCCGUGGGAACCUUCCCUUAUGUUCGGACUAACUCCCCGAAAGGGGUGCUAAUACCGGAUAAUGUCUUCGGCCCAAAGAUUUAUUGCCUUUGGAUGGGCCCGCGUUGGAUUAGCUGGUUGGUAUGGUAAAAGCAUCCCAAGGCGAGGAUCCAUAGCUGGUCUGUGAGGAUGAUCAGCCACACUGGGACUGAGAAACGGCCGAGACUCUUACGCGAGGCGGCAGUGGGGAAUAGUGGACAACCGGCGAAAGGAUGAUCCAGCAAGGCCGGGAGAGUGAUGAAAGCAUGAGGGUUGUAAAGCUCUUUUACCCGGGAUGAUAAUGACAGUACCGAGAGAAUAAGCCCCGGCUAACUCCGUG